UGGGAUGUGAUCCGUUCACCGUAAGCAUCC
rnacentral:piRNA from 1 species